GUCGAAUGUUGAAAAAAGCUGGUAAGGAUAUUCCAACGAAGUCCGGGACAAAAACAAAUCCUAAAUCUCAAAAAGAGGUUCCCGGUCAAAUGUUGGACAAAGCUAGUAAGGAAAUUCCAACGACGUCCGGGACAAAAUCUCAAAUUAUGAUGCGUCUUGAGAAAAUGGUGGAAGAGUCAGAUAUUAUGCACGGCGCCAUCCGUAGUGUAGAUAUGGAUGAAGGUGUUUUCGGAAUUGCUCAUUCCGAAUUAAUUGUAAAGGAGGACAUGCAACAACUUUUUGAACACGAAGAAUUGGGCAUCGCUGUCAUUCAUACAUACAUAUGGUACUCCGAUCAAUCUAUUAUUUACUUAGUUGAACAAUUUAUUUACACAUUUCAAUGAGUAGUCUAAUGUUUAUUAUGUUUCUA